rnacentral:rRNA from 1 species
AGAGUUUGAUCAUGGCUCAGGAUGAACGCUAGCUACAGGCUUAACACAUGCAAGUCGAGGGGCAGCAUGAUUGAAGCUUGCUUCAAUUGAUGGCGACCGGCGCACGGGUGAGUAACGCGUAUCCAACCUUCCGUUUACUCAGGGAUAGCCUUUCGAAAGAAAGAUUAAUACCUGAUAGUAUGGUAAGAUUGCAUGAUAAUACCAUUAAAGAUUAAUUGGUAAACGAUGGGGAUGCGUUCCAUUAGGUAGUAGGCGGGGUAACGGCCCACCUAGCCUACGAUGGAUAGGGGUUCUGAGAGGAAGGUCCCCCACAUUGGAACUGAGACACGGUCCAAACUCCUACGGGAGGCAGCAGUGAGGAAUAUUGGUCAAUGGACGAAAGUCUGAACCAGCCAAGUAGCGUGAAGGAUGAAGGUUCUAUGGAUUGUAAACUUCUUUUAUACGGGAAUAAAAAAGCCUACGUGUAGGUUCUUGUAUGUACCGUAUGAAUAAGCAUCGGCUAACUCCGUGCCAGCAGCCGCGGUAAUACGGAGGAUGCGAGCGUUAUCCGGAUUUAUUGGGUUUAAAGGGAGCGCAGACGGGUGAUUAAGUCAGCUGUGAAAGUUUGGGGCUCAACCUUAAAAUUGCAGUUGAAACUGGUCGUCUUGAGUGCGGUUGAGGUAGGCGGAAUUCGUGGUGUAGCGGUGAAAUGCUURGAUAUCACGAAGAACUCCGAUUGCGAAGGCAGCUUACUAAGCCGUAACUGACGUUCAUGCUCGAAAGUGUGGGUAUCAAACAGGAUUAGAUACCCUGGUAGU